rnacentral:tRNA from 1 species
UUUAAUAUGGCAGAAUAAAGUGCAAUAGAUUUAAGAUCUAUAUAUAAAAUUAUUAAAUUUUUAUUAAAA